rnacentral:rRNA from 1 species
UACGUAGGGGGCAAGCGUUGUCCGGAUUUAUUGGGCGUAAAGAGCUCGUAGGUGGUUCGGUAAGUCGGAUGUGAAAUCUCCAGGCUCAACCUGGAGGGGUCAUUCGAUACUGCCGUGACUAGAGGUCGGUAGGGGAGUGUGGAAUUCCUGGUGGAGCGGUGAAAUGCGCAGAUAUCUGGAGGAACACCGGUGGCGAAGGCGGCAUCCUGGACCAACACUGACACUGAGGAGCGAAAGCCAGGGGAGCAAACGGG